CUCUGGGAGAUAACCCAGAAUCCCUCUCCCUCCAGAAGGCGGAGGUAACCUUUGGAAGAUCACAUAUAUAGGGAGCCUGAGAAAGGGCUACCACAUCCAAGGAAGGCAGCAGGCGCGCAAAUUACCCACUCCCGACCCGGGGAGUUAGUGAAGAA
rnacentral:ncRNA from 1 species